CCUACGGGAGGCAGCAGUAGGGAAUAUUGCACAAUGGGCGAAACCCUGAUGCAGCGACGCCGCGUGCGUGAUGAAGGACUUCGGUAUGUAAAGUUCUAUCAUCAGGGAAGAAAAUGACGGUACCUGAGUAAUAAGCCCCGGCUAACUACGUGCCAGCAGCCGCGGUCAUACGUAGGGGGCAAGCGUUCUACGGAUUUACUGGGUGUAAAGGCAGCCGAGAUGGCAGUGCAAGUCUGGAGGGAAAGGCGGGGGCUCAACACCCGGACCGCUCUGGAAACUGUACGGCUGGAGUGAAGGAGAGGUAAGUGGAAUUCCUAGUGUAGCGGUGAAAUGCGUAGAUAUUAGGAAGAACACCAGUGGCGAAGGCGGCUUACUGGACUGUAACUGACGUUGAGGCACGAAAGCGUGGGGAGCAAACAGGAUUAGAUACCCCAGUAGUC
rnacentral:rRNA from 1 species